UGUAUGGAGAGCACCAAUAAAAGCCUAUGAACCUUGUCAGGUCCGGAAGGAAGCAGCAAUAAGUAGAUACUUUUAUGUGGAGCUUUCCAUAGAGGA
rnacentral:SRP_RNA from 1 species